rnacentral:rRNA from 1 species
GGUGGUCUAAUACUUCAUAAUAUCCAUCUCGUAUGGAUUAAAGCUUUAUGCGCUUUGGGAGGGCCUGCGUAACAUUAGCUUGUUGGUGAGGUAAAAGCUCACCAAGGCUUCGAUGUUUAACUGGUUUGAGAGGAUGACCAGUCACACUGGGACUGAGAUACGGCCCAGACUCCUACGGGAGGCAGCAGUAAGGAAUCUUCCACAAUGGGGCAACCCUGAUGGAGCAAUACCGCGUGCAGGAUGAAGCGUUUCGGCGUGUAAACUGCUUUUAUCACCGAAGAUUAUGACUGUAGGUGAAGAAUAAGGACCGGCUAACUACGUG